UAGAAGCAAGCUACUAAUGUCCCAUGGCCC
rnacentral:piRNA from 1 species